AGAGUUUGAUCCUGGCUCAGGACGAACGCUGGCGGCGUGCCUAAUGCAUGCAAGUCGAGCGACGCGCACUACGGUGCGACGGAGCGGCGAACGGGUGAGUAACACGUGAGCAACCUGCCCUGAAGACCGGAAUAGCCCGGGGAAACCCGGUGUAAUGCCGGAUACACUCCCGAUACCGCAUGGUAUGGGAGAAAACGCCUUUGUGCUUCAGGGUGGGCUCACGGCCUAUCAGCUAGUUGGUGAGGUAACGGCUCACCAAGGCGACGACGGGUAGCUGGUCUGAGAGGACGAUCAGCCGCACUGGGACUGAGACACGGCCCAGACUCCUACGGGAGGCAGCAGCAGGGAAUAUUGCGCAAUGGGCGAAAGCCUGACGCAGCGACGCCGCGUGGGGGAUGAAUGCCUUCGGGUUGUAAACCCCUUUCAGGAGGGAAGAAAUUGACGGUACCUCCAAAAGAAGCCCCGGCCAACUACGUGCCAGCAGCCGCGGUAAGACGUAGGGGGCAAGCGUUGUCCGGAAUCAUUGGGCGUAAAGGGCUCGUAGGCGGCUCGGUAAGUUGAUCGUGAAAUCCCGGAGCUCAACUCCGGAACUGCGGUCGAUACUGCCGUGGCUAGAGUCAGGUAGAGGAGAGUAGAAUUCCCGGUGUAGCGGUGGAAUGCGCAGAUAUCGGGAGGA
rnacentral:rRNA from 1 species